UACGUAGGGGGCAAGCGUUAUCCGGAUUUACUGGGUGUAAAGGGAGCGUAGACGGCAGCGCAAGUCUGGAGUGAAAUGCCGGGGCUCAACCCCGGAACUGCUUUGGAAACUGUGCAGCUAGAGUGCGGGAGAGGUAAGCGGAAUUCCUAGUGUAGCGGUGAAAUGCGUAGAUAUUAGGAGGAACACCAGUGGCGAAGGCGGCUUACUGGACUGUAACUGACGUUGAGGCUCGAAAGCGUGGGGAGCAAACAGG
rnacentral:rRNA from 1 species